CAGGUAUGCUGAAAAAAGGCAUUCUUCAAAUCAAUUACAGAGAAGAACGCAGCAUCUGCAGGGAUUGCAGAAAUGAGGUUAAUUGAGAAUCCAGUUGAUGACCGUUGGAGUGAAUCUGAAACACAAGGAAGAACAGACAGUUGUGAAGGUGGCCGUGCUGCAGCCUGCGGCAGCGAGGACAAGCAGUGGAUGGCUGGUGCAGUAUCAUGACUUCACAACGUCAUUAAAAUGAUGCACCAUAGCCAAGAUAGCAGUGACCGAGGGGAGGAAGGGGCAUGACUGAACCCUUUGACCCCCACCCCCAGGGCUGCCACCAGAAAUUGUGGGGCCCGUGACUGACAAAAUAGAAACCCCCCCUCCCCCCCUCCGAAAAAAAAGUAAAAUAAAAAUAAAUAUAUAUUCCAAAAAAUAAAAAAUAAUAUUUCUAUUCCAGUGCCAGAUAUGCCCCCAGUACCAGAUACAGAAAUGCCCCCACUGUGCCUGCCAGAUAUGCCCCCAGUGCCAGAUACAGAAAUGCCCCCACUGUGCCUGCCAGAUAUGCACCCAGUGCCAGAUACAGAAAUGCCCCCAGUGCCAGAUACAUAUAUGCCCCCAGUGCCAGAUACAUAUAUGCCCCCAGUGCCAGAUACAUAUAUGCCCCCAGUGCCAGAUAUGCCCACAGUGCCAGAUACAGAAAUGCCCCCAGUGCCAAAUACAUAUAUGCCCCCAGUGCCAGAUACAUAUAUGCCCCCAGUGCCAGAUACAUAUAUGCCCCCAGUGCCAGAUAUGCCCACAGUGCCAGAUACAGAAAUACCCCACAGUGCCAAAUACAGAAAUGCCCCCAGUGCCAGAUAUGCCCCCAGUGCCAGAUACAGAAAUGCCCCCACUGUGCCUGCCAGAUAUGCCCCCCGUGCCAGAUAUGCCCCUAGUGCCAGAUAUGCCCCCAGUGCCAGAUAUGUCCCACUCCCCAGUGCCAGAUAUGCCCCCAGACCCCAGUGCCAGGUACACAUGUCCUCAAUGCUCCGGGCCCCCUUUUCAUAAAACCCACAGUCACAGACAACAGAGACAUACAUACUUACCUGUGUAAAGAAAUACUUACCUACAAAUCUGUCCUCUCUGCUCUCUCUGUCUCUCCCACGCUAUCUGCUGCUGCCAGCCGCCUCCUGUCCCUAGCUCCACGGCUCCUCUUCACCCGACGCGGCGUGACGUCAUGACGUCACGCUGUGUCGCAUUUGAAUAAAAUAAACUUUAUUUAGCCGAACAGCAAGCUGCAGCUUGCUGUGAUCGGCGGCGGGACACGAAGGGGCAAAAGCCGCGCCGCGGUCAGUGUCACCGGCGGUGGUCGCCGCCGGGAAUAGCCGCUGUGUGUGCAGCCCGGGCCCUCCACUCUGUCAGAGUGGCCGGGCCCGGGACAACUGUACACAGGGCACCCCCUUGAUGGCGGCCCUGCCCACCCCCACCCUCCCAGUCGCUGGGCCUGCGUCUCUUCCUAAGUGGGUAUUACUCAAAAAUGCAGCACUAACCCUUUAUGUAAGUUGGCACAUAAAGCCCAAUGUGUGCAAUAAUUUCUUGCUCAGAAAAUAAUUAAA